rnacentral:rRNA from 1 species
AACGAACGCUGGCGGCAUGCCUAACACAUGCAAGUCGAACGAGACCUUCGGGUCUAGUGGCGCACGGGUGCGUAACGCGUGGGAACCUGCCCUUAGGUUCGGAAUAACUCCCCGAAAGGGGUGCUAAUACCGGAUAAUGUCUUCGGACCAAAGAUUUAUCGCCUUUGGAUGGGCCCGCGUUGGAUUAGCUAGUUGGUAGGGUAAAAGCCUACCAAGGCGACGAUCCAUAGCUGGACUGAGAGGAUGAUCAGCCACACUGGGACUGAGGCACGGCCCAGACUCCUACGGGAGGCAGCAGUGGGGAAUAUUGGACAAUGGGCGAAAGCCUGAUCCAGCAAUGCCGCGUGAGUGAUGAAGGCCUUAGGGUUGUAAAGCUCUUUUACCCGGGAUGAUAAUGACAGUACCGGGAGAAUAAGCUCCGGCUAACUCCGUG